rnacentral:rRNA from 1 species
GACGAACGCUGGCGGCGUGCUUAACACAUGCAAGUCGAACGGUAAGGCCCCAGCUUGCUGGGGUACACGAGUGGCGAACGGGUGAGUAACAAGUGGGUGACCUGCCCUGCACUUCGGGAUAAGCCUGGGAAACUGGGUCUAAUACCGGAUAGGACCCUGGUGUGGAUACUGUGGUGGAAAGGUUUUUCGGUGUGGGAUGGGCCCGCGGCCUAUCAGCUUGUUGGUGGGGUAAUGGCCUACCAAGGCGGCGACGGGUAGCCGGCCUGAGAGGAUGGACGGCCACAUUGGGACUGAGAAACGGCCCGGACUCCUACGGGAGGCAGCAGUGGGGAAUAUGGCCCAAUGGGCGGAAGCCUGAUGCAGCGACGCCGCGUGGGGGAUGACGGCCUUCGGGUUGUAAACUCCUUUCACCAUCGACGAAGGGUUUGUGAAGGUAGAUGGAGAAGAAGCACCGGCUAACUACGUG